rnacentral:rRNA from 2 species
AACUUUCAACAACGGAUCUCUUGGUUCUCGCAUCGAUGAAGAACGCAGCGAAAUGCGAUAAGUAGUGUGAAUUGCAGAAUUCAGUGAAUCAUCGAAUCUUUGAACGCACAUUGCGCCUCCUGGCAUUCCGGGAGGCAUGCCUGUUCGAGCG